rnacentral:misc_RNA from 1 species
UUGUGUUAAGAAAACUUGUUUUCAAACCAAGUCAGAACCAAAUAAAUGGCUAUUAAUUAAAGGGUAGGGGUGGAUAGUCUCUAAAGAGUUGGAAGUCUAUCUCAGCUCAAUGAGCUUAGUAUCGCACCGGUGAACAUAGGGAAUCACCCAGAUGAAGGGCUUUGAGUCUACGCACGACUCUGGUCUUGUUAGACGGAGAAUCGGCCUCGCAGCCCACCCGCCGCCUCUGAUGGCCAACCAACUCUAACAAGGAAGGUCGACGAUGACGCACUGACCGUACUCACAUUGAGCUAAUACCUGACUUCCUCAGCCUUAGAAAUUCUCCUAGGGACAUUUUUAAUGAUCCUUCCGCAGGUUCACCUACGGAAA